AUGGAAGACCAAUAUGUGAAUCCAAAGAAGCCACGGCAAAAAACAGGUAUCACUCGUAGGCAUCAUUAUGAAGUGGAUUAUUUUAAUGAUGUUAUUGAUUGGCUGCUUCAAGAACUUGAUAAUCGCUUCAAUGAGAAAAAUUCUGAACUACUUGUUUGCUCAGCGGCUUUGAGACCAAAUGAAUCAUUUCAUGAUUUCAACUUAGAGAAUUUGAUGAGUCUAUCUAAACUUUAUCCAAGAGAUUUUGAUGAUGGAGAACCGAGGGACCUUAGACAUCACCUUCAUCUUUACAUUGCUGAUCUCCGAGCAGAUGAUCGCUUCUCUGGUUUAAGUAAUAUUUGUGAGCUCCCUCAAAAAAUGGUGGAGAUAAAAAAGCAUAUUGUCUAUCCCUUGGUUUAUCGACUUUUGAAGCUAGCACUAGUAUUGCCUGUUGCCACUCCUACAGUUGAGAGAUCUUUUUCGACUAUGAGAAUUGUGAAGACGUAUUUGCGCAAUCGUCUUGGUGAUGACUCCUUGAAGUACAACCUUAUUUGUUACGUGGAGAAAAGCAAAAUGAGAAAGGUUACUAAUGAUGCGGUAAUUGAUCGCUUUGAAGCCAUGAAAGAAUGUAGGAAACCAUUUUAG
rnacentral:rRNA from 1 species